AGAGGGGGAUAACGUUUGGAAACGAACGCUAAUACCGCAUGAUAUUAUUGGGCAGCAUUGCCUGAUAAUCAAAGGAGCAAUCCGCUGAAAGAUGGGCUCGCGUCCGAUUAGGUAGUUGGCGGGGUAACGGCCCACCAAGCCGACGAUCGGUAGCCGGACUGAGAGGUUGAACGGCCACAUUGGGACUGAGACACGGCCCAGACUCCUACGGGAGGCAGCAGUGAGGGAUAUUGGUCAAUGGGGGAAACCCUGAACCAGCAACGCCGCGUGAGGGAAGACGGUUUUCGGAUUGUAAACCUCUGUCCUCUGUGAAGAUGAUGACGGUAGCAGAGGAGGAAGCUCCGGCUAACUACGUGCCAGCAGCCGCGGUAAUACGUAGGGAGCAAGCGUUGUCCGGAUUUACUGGGUGUAAAGGGUGCGUAGGCGGCUUUGCAAGUCAGAAGUGAAAUCUAUGGGCUUAACCCAUAAACUGCUUUUGAAACUGCAGGGCUUGAGUGAAGUAGAGGUAGGCGGAAUUCCCGGUGUAGCGGUGAAAUGCGUAGAGAUCGGGAGGAACACCAGUGGCGAAGGCGGCCUACUGGGCUUUAACUAACGCUGAGGCACGAAAGCGUGGGUAGCAAACAGGAUUAGAUACCCUGGUAGUCCACGCUGUAAACGAUGAUUACUAGGUGUGGGUGGACUGACCCCAUCCGUGCCGGAGUUA
rnacentral:rRNA from 1 species